rnacentral:rRNA from 1 species
UGGGGAAUAUUGCACAAUGGAGGGAACUCUGAUGCAGCGACGCCGCGUGAGUGAUGAAGGAAUUCGUUUCGUAAAACUCUGUUCUAUGGGAAGAAAAGGACUGUACCAUAGGAGAAAGCUCCGGCUAAAUACGUGCCAGCAGCCGCGGUAAUACGUAUGGAGCGAGCGUCGUCCGGAAUUAUUGGGCGUAAAGGGUGCGCAGGCGGCUUUACAAGUUGGAUGUGAAAUAUUGUUGCUCAACCACAAACGUGCAUCCAAAACUGCAAAGCUUGAGUUAAGGAGAGGUAAGUGGAAUUCCUGGUGUAGCGGUGAAAUGCGUAGAUAUCAGGAGGAAUACCGGUGGCGAAGGCGACUUACUGGACUUAAACUGACGCUCAGGCACGAAAGCGUGGGGAGCAAACAGG